rnacentral:rRNA from 1 species
AGGACGAACGCUGGCGGCGUGCUUAACACAUGCAAGUCGAGCGGUAAGGCCUUUCGGGGUACACGAGCGGCGAACGGGUGAGUAACACGUGGGUGAUCUGCCCUGCACUCUGGGAUAAGCCUGGGAAGCUGGGUCUAAUACCGGAUAUGACCUGCUCUCGCAUGGGGGGUGGUGGAAAGUAUUUAGUCGGUGCAGGGAUCGGGCCCGCGGCCUAUCAGCUUGGUUGGGUGGGUAAUGGCCUACCGAAGGCCGACGACGGGUAGCCGACU